rnacentral:rRNA from 1 species
CUUGAUAGCUAAACUCUCUAAAGACACCAGAUUCCAUCUGAUCUUGGAAGCUAAGAAGGGUCAGCCCUGAUUAGUAAUUGGAUGGGAGACUACCAACAAACACCAAGUGUGUGGUCGAAA